rfam:Tncultured Acidilobus sp. JCHS scf1118686607495, whole genome shotgun sequence.
GGGCCGAGGCUGGCGGCUCACGGGCCCGAUGGGGCCUGAGGAAACACCGCCCUCUCAGCGGCAGCCGGACCCCGUAAGGGGCCUGGGUGAUACCCAGGGCAACGGCACAGAGACGACACGGCCUCCACGGUAUGUCGAUGAAGCCUUGAGGGGGCCCUGGCGACAGGGCCCUAGUAACGGGCUGAGCAUCGUGGAGGAUGCGGUGAAACGGCCGACCCCGGCGGAGCAAGGCGGGGGCCUGUGAGGAGCCGCGCGAGGCCCUCAGGCCGCGUAGUCGGAUGCUGCCGAAGUACAGAAGGCGGGUUAUAGCCUCGGCCC